rnacentral:rRNA from 1 species
ACGGAGGAUCCAAGCGUUAUCCGGAAUCAUUGGGUUUAAAGGGUCCGUAGGCGGCUUAAUAAGUCAGUGGUGAAAGCCCUACGCUUAACGUAGGAACGGCCAUUGAUACUGUUAGGCUUGAAUUAUUAGGAAGUAACUAGAAUAUGUAGUGUAGCGGUGAAAUGCUUAGAGAUUACAUGGAAUACCAAUUGCGAAGGCAGGUUACUACUAAUGGAUUGACGCUGAUGGACGAAAGCGUGGGUAGCGAACAGGAUUAGAUACCCUGGUAGUCCACGCCGUAAACGAUGGAUACUAGCUGUUGGGAGCAAUUUCAGUGGCUAAGCGAAAGUGAUAAGUAUCCCACCUGGGGAGUACGUUCGCAAGAAUG